GGGAGUUAUUGUUCUUCAGAACAGCUUCUGCAGUAGCUAAUAAUAACGUUAUAUAUUAUAUAAAUUUUAUACAUCCUUUUUACCCUACGACUCCAUAUAUAAGCAAGUAAAAAUAAAUAUGGCUCGCUCUGUUUCUUCCUUUAAGUUCCUUGGUGCUUCUGUUUUUGAUGCUCUUUAUGUCUCCAUAUCAAGGUAACCGUGUGUAUGUUUUUUCAAAAUCCUUUUAGUAUAUGGUUUUUGGCUUAGUCUUUUUUAUUUUUUUGGUUAUUGAUAAUGAUUUGGGAUUGGCUUUAAAGGAGAGGUUACUCAGGUGCACCGCCGGCGGCAGUGACGGCUAGCUUUGGUAGGCCUGGAGCGAUGGGGAAAGUGGAACGAAGAGAUGCGAUGAAAGAGUCGUCGUCGUCGGAGACAAGGGCUUAUUCUUCAGCUUGGGCGCCUGACCCUGUUACGGGGUAUUACCGGCCGGAGAACUGUGGGGCUGAGAUCGAUGCGGCGGAGCUCCGGGAGAUGUUGUUGAAUCACAGGGUUAGAUCACAGUAGAAACUUGCCACCGCAUGUGAUCACCGUAGCAGAGCAGAGCCAGAAUGUUUUGCAGAUGUUUGGGUGCCUUUGUAUUUUGUUUUGGUUUUGAGUUCAAAAUCUUUUAUCUUAAUAAUCGGUAGUAUUUCUUAUAAAGAGUGUAGUGUGCUUAACUUUAAGCUAAAGCAGAAAAUUCACUAAAUUACCA
rnacentral:lncRNA from 1 species